AUGAUACGCGAGGAACCUUACCUGGGCUUAAAUGGGGAGUGACAGUCUGUCGAAAGAUGGUUUUCUUCGGUACACUCUUCAAGGUGCUGCAUGGUUGUCGUCAGCUCGUGCCGUGAGGUGUCGGGUUAAGUCCCAUAACGAGCGCAACCUACCGUAGUUACCAUCAGGUUAAGCUGGGGACUCUAGCGGGACUGCCACGUAAGGUGAGAGGAAGUGGGGAUGACGUCAAAUCAGCACGGCCCUUAUGUCCAGGGCUACACACGUGUUACAAUGGCCAGUACAAAGGGCAGCUACCGGGUGACCGGAUGCUAAUCUCUAAAGCUGGUCUCAGUUCGGAUCGAAGUCUGCAACCCGACUUCGUGAAGCUGGAUUCGCUAGUAAUCGCGCAUCAGCCAUGGCGCGGUGAAUACGUUCCCGGGCCUU
rnacentral:rRNA from 1 species